rnacentral:rRNA from 1 species
CUACGGGCGGCAGCAGUGGGGAAUAUUGCACAAUGGGCGCAAGCCUGAUGCAGCCAUGCCGCGUGUAUGAAGAAGGCCUUCGGGUUGUAAAGUACUUUCAGCGGGGAGGAAGGGAGUAAAGUUAAUACCUUUGCUCAUUGACGUUACCCGCAGAAGAAGCACCGGCUAACUCCGUGCCAGCAGCCGCGGUAAUACGGAGGGUGCAAGCGUUAAUCGGAAUUACUGGGCGUAAAGCGCACGCAGGCGGUUUGUUAAGUCAGAUGUGAAAUCCCCGGGCUCAACCUGGGAACUGCAUCUGAUACUGGCAAGCUUGAGUCUCGUAGAGGGGGGUAGAAUUCCAGGUGUAGCGGUGAAAUGCGUAGAGAUCUGGAGGAAUACCGGUGGCGAAGGCGGCCCCCUGGACGAAGACGGACGCUCAGGUGCGAAAGCGUGGGGAGCAAACAGGAUUAGAUACCCUCGUAGUC